GCCACCCCAGCAUGCUUCACUUCAGACUGUGCCCAGAGACUUCAGGUGUGGAAUGACAACCCUUCAGCAGCCUCAUUACUCAGGACACAAUGCUGAAUGGAAGUGACAGAGGGGAAAAAAAAAUCCAGUGGAGAUAGGAGACACAGAAGACACAUAUAAAGGCCCCACUCAGACUCCAGCCCCUGCUGUUUACCAUCAGGAGCCCCGUCGCACACCACUAGGUCCGCAGAACUGCCCUCGAAGUGCCGGAUAAUCUCCUUGGCAGUAGACAGCUAUGGAAGAAAAGGAAGGGACCUUGGAAGAGCUGGAACUCCUCAUCGAGCUGUAGCAGUUUGAAGGCGCUGCGGGCACGCCAGCCGUUCUCCUUGGCCAGGCG